rnacentral:rRNA from 1 species
CCUACGGGAGGCAGCAGUGAGGAAUAUUGGUCAAUGGGCGCGAGCCUGAACCAGCCAAGUAGCGUGAAGGAUGACUGCCCUACGGGUUGUAAACUUCUUUUAUAAAGGAAUAAAGUGAGUCACGUGUGCCUUUUUGUAUGUACUUUAUGAAUAAGGAUCGGCUAACUCCGUGCCAGCAGCCGCGGUAAUACGGAGGAUCCGAGCGUUAUCCGGAUUUAUCGGGUUUAAAGGGAGCGUAGAUGGGUUGUUAAGUCAGUUGUGAAAGUUUGCGGCUCAACCGUAAAAUUGCAAUUGAUACUGGCAGUCUUGAGUACAGUUGAGGUAGGCGGAAUUCGUGGUGUAGCGGUGAAAUGCUUAGAUAUCACGAAGAACUCCGAUUGCUAAGGCAGCUUACUAAACUGCCACUGACAUUGAUGCUCGAAAGUGUGGGUAUCAAACAGGAUUAGAUACCCUUGUAGUC